GACGAACGCUGGCGGCGUGCUUAACACAUGCAAGUCGAACGGAAAGGCCCUGCUUUUGUGGGGUGCUCGAGUGGCGAACGGGUGAGUAACACGUGAGUAACCUGCCCUUGACUUUGGGAUAACUUCAGGAAACUGGGGCUAAUACCGGAUAGGAGCUCCUGCUGCAUGGUGGGGGUUGGAAAGUUUCGGCGGUUGGGGAUGGACUCGCGGCUUAUCAGCUUGUUGGUGGGGUAGUGGCUUACCAAGGCUUUGACGGGUAGCCGGCCUGAGAGGGUGACCGGCCACAUUGGGACUGAGGUACGGACCAGACCCCUACGGGAGGCAGCAGUGGGGAAUAUUGCACAAUGGGCGGAAGCCUGAUGCAGCAACGCCGCGUGCGGGAUGACGGCCUUCGGGUUGUAAACCGCUUUCGCCUGUGACGAAGCGUGAGUGACGGUAAUGGGUAAAGAAGCACCGGCUAACUACGUG
rnacentral:rRNA from 1 species